rnacentral:rRNA from 1 species
UACGAAGGGGGGCUAGCGUUGCUCGGAAUCACUGGGCGUAAAGCGCACGUAGGCGGCUUUUUAAGUCAGGGGUGAAAUCCUGGAGCUCAAACUCCAGAACUGCCUUUGAUACUGAGAAGCUCGAGUCCGGGGAGAGGUGAGUGGAACUGCGAGUGUAGAGGUGAAAUUCGUAGAUAUUCGCAAGAACACCAGUGGCGAAGGCGGCUCACUGGCCCGGUACCGACGCUGAGGUGCGAAAGCGUGGGGAGC